CCACUCGUAAUGGAGUGGUAUCCAUAUCUGAAUUCAUAGGAUAUGAGAAGGCAGACCCGGGGAACUGAAACAUCUAAGUACCCGGAGGAAGAGAAAGCAAAUGCGAUUCCCUGAGUAGCGGCGAGCGAAACGGGAUUAGCCCAAACCAAGAGGCUUGCCUCUUGGGGUUGUAGGACACUCUGUACGGAGUUACAAAAGAACGAGGUAGAUGAAGAGGUCUGGAAAGGCCCGCCAUAGGAGGUAACAGCCCUGUAGUCAAAACUUCGUUCUCUCCUGAGUGGAUCCUGAGUACGGCGGAACACGUGAAAUUCCGUCGGAAUCCGGGAGGACCAUCUCCCAAGGCUAAAUACUCCCUAGUGACCGAUAGUGAACCAGUACCGUGAGGGAAAGGUGAAAAGCACCCCGGAAGGGGAGUGAAAGAGAUCCUGAAACCGUGUGCCUACAAGUAGUCAGAGCCCGUUAACGGGUGAUGGCGUGCCUUUUGUAGAAUGAACCGGCGAGUUACGAUCCCGUGCAAGGUUAAGCAGAAGAUGCGGAGCCGCAGCGAAAGCGAGUCUGAAUAGGGCGCAUGAGUACGUGGUCGUAGACCCGAAACCAGGUGAUCUACCCAUGUCCAGGGUGAAGUUCAGGUAACACUGAAUGGAGGCCCGAACCCACGCACGUUGAAAAGUGCGGGGAUGAGGUGUGGGUAGGGGUGAAAUGCCAAUCGAACCUGGAGAUAGCUGGUUCUCUCCGAAAUAGCUUUAGGGCUAGCCUCAAGGUAAGAGUCUUGGAGGUAGAGCACUGAUUGGACUAGGGGCCCCUACCGGGUUACCGAAUUCAGUCAAACUCCGAAUGCCAAUGACUUAUCCUUGGGAGUCAGACUGCGAGUGAUAAGAUCCGUAGUCGAAAGGGAAACAGCCCAGACCGACAGCUAAGGUCCCAAAGAAUACGUUAA
rnacentral:rRNA from 1 species